GGGGGCGACUUGGAUUCGACGGGGAUACCGAAGGUUGGUCGGCAUGUCGAGUAAGUUCCGCUAACUCGUAAAAUUCGCGGGAGAUAAAUUUAACUGCAAACUAUGAUGUUGCAAGCUAUCCCGUUGCCUCUGGCAACUCGAUGGUGCUUGCCGCCUAAAUUUAGGCGGCCGUCCUUACCGCCUUCGCCCACGUGGGCGGAUAAGGACGACGGUAAAGUGGGCUGGUCUGAUAACGCGUUCGCCGUUAUUUAGAUGAGAAUAAUGCGGAUCUGUCCUAUUAAAGACUCGCCCGUAAGGAUUUGAUAGGACGGGAUAAAAAAAUACGGGAUAAGCAUGUAGAAGAUCGGUUGGAUGUAUUUUCGGACGCGGGUUCGAUUCCCGCCGCCUCCACCA
rnacentral:tmRNA from 1 species